rnacentral:rRNA from 1 species
AGUGAACGCUGGCGGUAGGCCUAACACAUGCAAGUCGAACGGCAGCACAGUAAGAGCUUGCUCUUACGGGUGGCGAGUGGCGGACGGGUGAGGAAUACAUCGGAAUCUACUUUUUCGUGGGGGAUAACGUAGGGAAACUUACGCUAAUACCGCAUACGACCUACGGGUGAAAGCAGGGGAUCUUCGGACCUUGCGCGAUUGAAUGAGCCGAUGUCGGAUUAGCUAGUUGGCGGGGUAAAGGCCCACCAAGGCGACGAUCCGUAGCUGGUCUGAGAGGAUGAUCAGCCACACUGGAACUGAGACACGGUCCAGAGUCCUACGGGAGGCAGCAGUGGGGAAUAUUGGACAAUGGGCGCAAGCCUGAUCCAGCCAUACCGCGUGGGUGAAGAAGGCCUUCGGGUUGUAAAGCCCUUUUGUGGGGAAAGAAAAGCAGCAGGUUAAUACCCCGCUGUUCUGACGGUACCCAAAGAAUAAGCACCGGCUAACUUCGUG